AUCCUCCAGAUUCCCUUAUCCAUCAGAUGUAAAACCAGUCUGAGUGGUUAUAAAAGGAGGAAAAGUAAAGUAGGAAUUGACUUAAAUUAUCUUGUGGUGCAAGAGCUAGCUUCAAACUAAG
rnacentral:snoRNA from 1 species